CCUACGGGAGGCUGCAGUGAGGAAUAUUGCACAAUGGGCGAAAGACUGAUGCAGCAACGCCGCGUGAGCGAUGAAGGCAUACGGGUCGUAAAGCUCUGUCCUCAAGGAAGAUAAUGCCGGUACGCGAGGAGGAAGCCCCGGCUAACUACGUGCCAGCAGCCGCGGUAAUACGUAGGGGGCUAGCGUUAUCCGGAGUUACUGGGCGUAAAGGGUGCGUAGGUGGUUUGUUAAGUCAGCGGUGAAAGGCUACGGCUCAACCGUAGUCAGCCGUUGAAACUGGGGAACUUGAGUGGAGGAGAGGUGAGCGGAAUUCCUGGUGUAGCGGUGAAAUGCGUAGAUAUUAGGAAGAACACCAGUUGCGAAGGCGGCAUUCCGGCCCGUAACUGACACUGAGGCACGAAAGCGUGGGGAGCGAACAGGAUUAGAUACCCGAGUAGUC
rnacentral:rRNA from 1 species